UCUUCCUCCCACUUAAGAGUUACGUAACCAACAUGUUGAUCAAUCCAUUGCUUAUAUCACAUGCAGGGGGUGUUCAAACAAAAUUCAAUAAUCACAAAAAACCCAUCAACUCCAACCUAAUUCCUGCAGUCUAGACUGGGGUUAUCAACUCAUUUGACUUGGGUUAGGUUUAAAUAAAUAAAAAUUAUUAUGGGUUAGGUUUAAAUAAAUAAAAAUUAUUAUGGGUUAGGUUGGUUAAUAGACUUGUCAAUUCAAACCUCCAAUAAAAUAAUUAAAUCAAAAAUAAAAAUUAAUAAAUAAAUAGAGUAACUCGAACUGAUUGACUUGA